rnacentral:misc_RNA from 1 species
UACGUGAGCCCCAGGCGUUACCCGGAAUUAUUGGGCGUAAAGGGUCCGUAGGGGGUUGUAUUAGUCUUGUGUUAAAUAUCGUGGCUCAACCACGGUACUGCGCAGGAAACGGUACAACUAGAGGGUGUGAGAGGUUGGUGGAACGCACGGUGUAGGGGUGAAAUCCGUUGAUAUCGUGCGGAACACCAAAGGCGAAGGCAGCCAACUGGCGCAACCCUGACCCUGAUGGACGAAAGCGUGGGUAGCGAACCGG